UCCGCUUUUGUUCUCUGUAGCGUUUGUUGCUGGACCUCUGGAGCCACGGGAGCCCGUUAGCUGCCCAGUCCUGGAGAUACCUGCAUUCCUGGGAUCUGCAGCCUUCAGCUAGGGGCAGAAGGAAGGGGGGCAGCCUUGUGCUUGAGACCUAGUACCACGACGGGGCCAGUCAGUGUCCUGCCCGGGGCCUUAGAUGCCGCCUUUAUUUUGAGAGCAGGGACUGUACCUUACUCCUUGUUGUAUCCCCAGCACCCAACCCAUAAUAGGCGUUUGAAAGAUACAAUGAAUGAAUAAAGACCCCACGAAUGCGUGGUGAGAAGGUGGACUAAAUGAUCCCCGAGGUCCUGGGCCUCACCCGAGACUGCAAGAGUGGUAUUUCUUGCCUUUUUUUUUUUUUUUUUAAAUUUAAAUUCUAUUUCGUUAACACGCACUGUAUUAGCUUCAGAGGCAGAAUGUAGUGAUUCAUCAGUUGCAUGCAGCACCCAGGGCUCAUUCUGUCAAGUGCUUGCUUAAUGCCCGUCCCCCGGUUACCCGGUCCGGUCCCCACCCCUCCGGCAGCCCUCAGUUUGUUUCUAGAGCCAAGAGUCUCUUUCGAUUUGCCUCCCUCUCUGUUUUCGUCUUGUUUUUCCUGGAAGACUGUUAUUUCUGAAAGGAUCCUUUGGACAUCUGAGGAAUGAGAAAAUCAAGGGAUUGCGGCGAAUAGUCUCAGAAAACAAGAAAUAGGCAAGAAGUUCUUGUGUGUUUAUUGGGGGAAAGGGUCCGUGAAACUGGGAACAUGAACUCCGGGAAGACAGGAAUUUUGUCUUUGGCACUGAAUAUAUUCCUCGUGCCCUGUUCCAGUUCCUGGUGCCAGAGGUGGGGGGGUAGUGAGAGAGAGCGCACAAGCAGGG